rnacentral:hammerhead_ribozyme from 1 species
AUCCAGCUGAUGAGUCAUAAAUAGGACGAAACACGUGUCAAAAUAGAU